rnacentral:piRNA from 1 species
GAAGUCUUUUCUGGACAUUUCUGAAG